AAAGAGAAUUUUCAAAAUUUCUCUCAAAAACUCUCUCCCUCACAGCCCCUUUUGCAAUUUCAGGCCUAACUCCGGCCAUCGGCGCCGUCGUGAACCACUGGUCACCGGCGCCGAAAACCGUCGCCUCCGGUGGCUGAAAAUCACCAAAAUUUCAAUAAGGGUCCCUUUUGCGGCGUAGAACUCCGAUUCGGAGUCAAAACCACGAAACCGACCCCGAUGUUUCAGAAAGAUGAGAAAACCCUUGGUUUUUGAAGCUCUGCCGUGGCCCUGGCCGAAUCCCAAGGGAUUCGACGGCCUUUGACUCGGGAAAGGCAACGACGACCAAGGCUAAAACCAAUCGAAAAGUAACCUCUUUUAUCUCUUUCUUAUUUCGAAAAAUAUAAAAAAAAUAAAAAAAAUGAAACGAAUCAAAAAAAUCACUUUCUUGCUUUGUAUCUUUUGAUUAAUUUUCGUGUUUUUUUUAUUAAUAUUCUCUGUCCCCAUUUUACAAUCUGUUUUGUGUGUCUUUAUAGCCAAAUACAUGUUACUAUUAUAUCACUAUUCGGCCUUGCUUCUGCUGUUGCAUUUUCGCUGUGUUUGCUUUUUUGGGGGGUUACUUUGCAGGUCUGCUAGGAGUCAACGGGGGCAGGUUUCCGUUUUGGUGCAAGGAGCGGGUGGGAGCCGACCCUCGAGCGGAGUGCGCGCCGGGGAUGCACAUGGAGGCUGUGGCACCUAGGGUUUCCUCUUCCUCUUUUGCUAAAAUUUUUUUAGAUUUUAGGCUACUUGGGCUUAAGGUUUUGUUUUAAUUUGGUUUGGGGUGGGUUUAAUCCAUUUGGGCUGUGUAUUUUAGCCCGGGCCAAAAUUGGGUUGUACAUUUCAUAUUUUGGGAAUUCGAGAAAUUGUACCCUAACUUACGGGGUUUCAAUUUUCUUUUUAAACCUAAAUAGCCAAAUAUCCUUCUAAAUUUCAAAAUUCAUGAAAUUUCAAUAAUUUAAAGGCAAGCUUAUUCUCGAGGGUUCAAAGUGUCACGUUCUAACUUACGGGAUGUGACAUUUUAUUACCUCGAGACGAGAGAGUCCUUAAUAUUCUUUUCGAUUUAUUCGAG
rnacentral:lncRNA from 1 species